rnacentral:tmRNA from 1 species
GGGGGUGUCAUGGAAUUCGAUUACAAGUGGAAAUAUUGGGAAGCAAGUCGUGGGUGAUGAUCGGGGUCACGUAAAAACGAUCAUCAAAAUGUUAGCUGCAAAUAACGCUGACUAUACACCUGCUCGCGUCGCACUUGCGGCGUAAUUGAAGUAGGCGUCUUUCGUUGAGUUUGCCUGAAACGUAGCGAAAGAUGUUAUCUAAGUCAGGCUGGCUGUUGCAUUCCUCCGUAGCAACAGU